rnacentral:lncRNA from 1 species
UUCUAUUUUGUCUCUUUUUUACUUCCUAAACAGUUGUUUUUAUCUCACAGGGGCCCUCUGGUGGAACUCCAGAAUCUAAAGGAGAAAAAGGGGAUUCUGGGAUACAUGGUGAAGACGGAAAGCCUGGAGAACCUGGUCCGAGAGGUCCUUGGGGACCUAAAGGCGAGAAGGGAGAUCCAUGUGAACCAUGUCCAGUGGUGUCUUUUGACUCCACUGGCAACACUGUGGCCUUUCAGAGCAAGCAGGGGCCUAAAGGAGAACCAGGGGCCCCAGGCAAAGGAGAACAGGGUCCACCUGUGAGUUCAUUCUCAAAACCAACGCCACAAACCACUUGUGUUUAUCACAAAAAG